CACAUUUUUGUCCAUGGCACAUUUGCAAAGAUCUGAUCACAGAGCGGCAGUGUCUUUAAUCCGGCUCCACGAGCUUUGAAGUGAGAGAAUCUAAACGUGACGUCAAUGCCUAGUACUGACGCAGCCCUUCAACAACAAAAAAAAAGCAGUUAUUUUUUUUUUACCUCCUCUCGUCGGUAAAGCUUGAUUACUACAUUUCACAUCGCUCCGUCGACUGAAAGAACAAAAUGAAAAUCAGCGUCGGGUAAUCCGCCUUCGUCAGUAUUUGGAGCUAUUUCGCGUUCAUGAGUUCCAGCUGACACUGGGACGCAGAGCUUCGGAAGAGGGCGACAAGACAUCAAAUAUCGUCGAUGAUAUUGGCAGCGGCGACGAGUUCCAGAUUUUUGCCGUAGAGAGUGAAAGAAGUUUAAGGAUGAGAAUGAGGUGCUGCGCUGUUGGAAGGGACAUUGAGUUUAAAAAAAUCACUGCAAUGAUGCAACGGAGAGGGGUUCUUGUGCAGAGUUGGAAAGCCUGAAUUAAUCGGCAUGACAUGCACUUCACGUAGUGUUCUUAAGCGAUGUCUUUCGUGAGUGUUUUUUUUUCCUACCGCGCACUGUGACCUAAAAAUAGCAUCAUAGUUUGGGUCGUGCGCCAUAAAUAGACAGAUGGGUAUCACUUGUAUAAAAGGGAGGCGAUCCUGAGCUGGACGUGCCACUCUCGAACGACGACGUGCCCGUACCAUGGAGAGAAACAAUGAAAAGAGGAACAGGAGCAAAUAUGGAGAAGAGAACCGCACAUAGCGAGCGAGACAACGACGGACCGACCGACCUUCCUCCACCUCGUCCUCUUCCCUAACCCGAGACAGGACUUGAUUGUGAGAGGAGAGGGGGAACUAACACGCAGGAGGAGGCAGUGGGACAAACUGGUUCGACUGGGACACACCCGGCACACAGUCAUCAAAUCCCAGUGUGGGAAGGUAAAAGGCCGUGACCUUUGUUUGCUUGAGUAUGAGUGGUUCCGGUUCCGGUGAACAUAUAUGAACUUAAUCAAGAUUAAAACAAAACACACAAUAUUUCUGAACUGUUCUGAUGCGAAAUUGAUGAAAAAACAUUUUUUGGGGGAGGGGGAAACUGAAACUGAAACUGAAACGUAAAAAAGUAGAGUUUUAUUUUUUAUUGAUACAGUUAAACCAUUUAAUUUGUUAAAAAGAUCAACACGCUUAUGAUGAUUUGCAGAAAGUGUCGUGCAAUGUUUUUGGAAGAGGGGCAUCAGGUUUAUGAUCCUUUUUGAGAAAUGUGGUGUGUGUCAAAAACUGUGAAUCAAAUGGAGAAAGUUACAUUACAUCUAGAUUUGAUGCAGCAUAGACGCCAAUAAAAAAACGUCCCAACAUUUUAGCAAAUAUUUGUAGUUUAAACUAUUUUCAGAUAAUUAGGAGUUAUUUUUCUGUUAUAUAUUCUGUGUUAAAGAUGGGGUUUUAAUUAGUGUUUUACCAACUUUAUUAUCUCAAGAGUGUGACUGACUGUCUCACUGUGUUUGUAUGGGUCUGAUUCUGUUUUUGAGCAUCUACGCACAGAUGUGAAUUAGUCUAUAAUAUAAUAUAAUGGUGGUGUGUGUUUGUUUAAGUCUGAAAUAUCUAGAUGCAUUUAAAGUAGGGCUGUCAAUAGAUUUAAAAAACACUGUUGUUUAAUUGUUAAUUAAACACAAAACUACACACAUUUGGAGGCAGAAUUCCACCUGGUGGAACAUGUUAAACUAGGGACUCUGUCCACUUUGCUCUCAACUCUCAUCAUUUAACAGGUGUGUUUGAAGUGCCAAAAAUCUCAAAACCUUUUUCUUUUAGGGACACAGUGGUGGUCCUCUGCAGACUGUGUGCCGCGCAGGGUAACGUUAGAUGUUGAGAUGGAAGUAGCCUAGCAGCUAGCUUAACUUGCUCGUUAACUACGUUGAAAUAUUUUGUUGCAUUCAUCUAGGCCACAUUAAUCGCAGCCCUAAUUUAAAGACAUGCAUGCACACACAUGUACACACACACGUGUACUGUACAUGCAACCGCACACAUGAAUCCUGUGAGUUACAUUUCGAUAAUGUAUAAGUCAAAUUGGUAAAAACAUUUUUUGAGAAGGAAAAACAGUUCACAGUAAAUAAAGUACGUACGUCAAUAGUGACACACACACCUGCAGGCUGGAAAUGUGUGUGUCCAAUUACCAUCCUCAAAAGGUCUACUUGAGAGAAGGAUAUUCAAACAUACAACAUGUACUAAAGCACCGAAAGAAACGUUUGUAAUUUGAUUCUAAUUUAUUAAUGAAGUCAGUAACUUUAUUUUGUACAUGUUUAAUGUUUAGUUUUCUUUCUAACAAAAAAAACAGAUUAUUUUAUGUAAAACUUAUUUUGCUCUAUUUGUGUUGUAUAAAAACAAACUUUUUUGUUAUGAAUACAUUUGAAAAGUGUGUGUGUGUGUGUGUGUGUGUGUGUGUGUGUGUGUGUGUGUGUGUGUGUGUGUGUCUGUUCCCGCAGUAGCGUAUUAAUAGUUUGCGACCGCGUGUUUGUGUGCAUAGUGGGUUUAAUGUACCGUCACACAGUUUUCUAAUGUCUCUUUCCAUGUUUCUUUCAAGAUAAAAAGGAGAAAAGGACAACAAGAGUGCAGCCUCUAAACUGUCGGACUGCGAGGAAACUACCGACAGGGGGACUCACAAAACGUCCGAUAGUAGUUGGUGUGAGUGUGUAUGAAUGUAGUGAAUUGAAUAUUGUUGGCAAAUAUUUGUGUUAAAAAAGUAGCUCCAAAUGGGAGACGGCAAGAUGAUACGCGUUUAUUAAAUUGUACUUGUAUAUAUAAUAUUAAAAGUGCAACCAGUGCUGGAAAAAGUUUAUUUAUUAAGAUUAUUUAGUGACAGACUGCAUUGUUGUAAAUACAUUUACAUACAAACAUCAUCAUAGAUGCUCCGAGAUUUGUGUAAUUAAUUUCACCCGGUUUGCAAUUGUUAAACAACAGCUGCUCCUUCCUCUCCCUCGGUCACGUUGCCUUCGAUCCUCUCCACUUGUGUCAAAAAAUGCGAGCAGCUGGACGACGGCCGUCCGCGCGUGGACACAUUUUUAUACUCUGGUCCCUCUGCUGAGCACACGACAGGCUUUUGUUUGUGCCAGAGAGCAUCCGUGUGUCCCAAUUUUAUGUUUAGUUUGUCUCAGUAUGAGAGCGAGAGUUGCGUUUGUGUGUGUGGGGGGGGGGGGGAUCUCCUUCUGGUUCGUCCUGCUGAGGAGAAAUGAGGUCGAUGUGAAACAGCCUGCCUGGCUCAUUUAUGUGCAUAAAGAUGUUAAACAAGUUCAUUAAAGCUUUGGGAAAAUCCACAUGCCUGUCAAAGUGUUUGUGUUACGCACACGUCACAUAUCACGAUGCGG
ensembl:lncRNA